rnacentral:rRNA from 1 species
CAAUAGCGUAUAUUAAAGUUGUUGCAGUUAAAAAGCUCGUAGUUGGAUUUCUGGAUGGAGCGACCGGUCGGCAUUAAUUUGUCUGCACUGGAGUCGGUUCCGUCCAUCCUCUUGGAAAGUGCGUGGGGCAUUAAGUUGUCUGGCGUAUGAUCCAAGUCGUUUACUGUGAAAAAAUUAGAGUGUUUAAAGCAGGCCUUCGCCUUGAAUACAUUAGCAUGGAAUAAUAAGAUAGGACUUUGGUCUAUUUUGUUGGUUUGCAGACCGAAGUAAUGAUUAAUAGGGAUAGUUGGGGGUAUUUAUAUUCCGAUGUCAGAGGUGAAAUUCUUAGAUUUUCGGAAGAUAAACUUAUGCGAAAGCAUUUACCAAGGAUGUUUUCAUUAA